UUUUUCAUCACCCAUACAGUUAGUCUAUUAUUGUCCAGCCAACUAAAAGUGUCUUCUAGAAUAAGGUGAAAGAACAGAGAGGGCAAGGAAGAACUGAGAGCAUAUGGAGGAAGGAGUCAAUUGUGUAAAACAUAGGUCCCAGCAGUGAUGCAAUAGAAGGAGCAUAGGAAGACAGAAGUCAGCAAAUGACCAUCCAGUGCAGCAAGCAGCGUGCUCAGUAUCAACAGGGGUUGUCUUCCAGGGAUUGCAUCAGGAGGCCACCUGACCUCUGACUUCCUGUUGGCUUCAGCUAAGAAGGAAGGAGGAACACUGAGAGGGGACAGGAGGAGGCAGGAGCAUGCUGUCAGGGUAUUGUGUUUUUCCAGUGCCUUCUCUGUGGGCUGCUGAGGGCCUGAAGCCCCUCCUCACAGCUCUCUCCCUCUCCAAAUCCUUAUGUGACCAGCCCCACCCCCUCACUCCCCCAGGCUCCCCGAGGUUGCCAGCCCCAAAGUAUUCACUGCUUUUUUGGCUCCCCCACACCUGUCCUUGCCUGUGUAAAUGUUCCCUUCAUUAAAUUCUCC
rnacentral:lncRNA from 1 species